CAUUCAGUAGCUGAGUGAUUGACAGCAAGAGGAGCAAGACAUGAGGAGCUGGUGACACAGUUAUUAUGGAAGGAUAACUGAUAGUCUUAAGUUAAUAAUUAUCAAAUAUAUGGCAAUGCUGGACUUUAGCUGAUCAUCGUGCUUCUGGAAAACAACAAAAAUUGAGAUAUCUGUUCACCACUUUGUGUGUCCAAGGACCACCUACUUUUUACAUGUGACAAGAACUACCCACCUCCACUCUUCAGGAUAGAACAUGCUGAAGAAAAGAGUUGCAAUGAGAAAAUAUAUGGGAACAAAAUACCUAUGCAAUGCAGAAGUCUGCAUAACUGAACCACUCAGAGGAAAAAGAUUGCCAUUUCAGGACACCUCCUACAUCUGAGGAAAUAUGCAUUGAUCUUGCAGUACUUUUCUCCUCCAAAUAAAAGUCAG
rnacentral:lncRNA from 10 species